rnacentral:rRNA from 1 species
GACGAACGCUGGCGGCGUGCCUAAUACAUGCGAGUAGAACGCUGAAGGAGGAGCUUGCUUCUCCGGAUGAGUUGCGAACGGGUGAGUAACGCGUAGGUAACCUGCCUGGUAGCGGGGGAUAACUAUUGGAAACGAUAGCUAAUACCGCAUAAGAGUAGAUGUUGCAUGACAUUUGCUUAAAAGGUGCAAUUGCAUCACUACCAGAUGGACCUGCGUUGUAUUAGCUAGUUGGUGAGGUAACGGCUCACCAAGGCGACGAUACAUAGCCGACCUGAGAGGGGUAUCGGCCACACUGGGACUGAGACACGGCCCAGACUCCUACGGGAGGCAGCAGUAGGGCAUCUUCGGCAAUGGACGGAAGUCUGACCGAGCAACGCCGCGUGAGUGAAGAAGGUUUUCGGAUCGUAAAGCUCUGUUGUAAGAGAAGAACGAGUGUGAGAGUGGAAAGUUCACACUGUGACGGUAUCUUACCAGAAAGGGACGGCUAACUACGUG